GGAGGAAAAGAAACCAACAGGGAUUGCCCCAGUAACGGCGAGUGAAGCGGCAACAGCUCAAAUUUGAAAUCUGGCCCCCCGGGGCCCGAGUUGUAAUUUGCAGAGGAUGCUUUUGGCGAGGCGCCUUCCGAGUUCCCUGGAACGGGACGCCACAGAGGGUGAGAGCCCCGUCUGGUUGGAUGCCGAGCCUCUGUAAAGCUCCUUCGACGAGUCGAGUAGUUUGGGAAUGCUGCUCUAAAUGGGAGGUAUAUGUCUUCUAAAGCUAAAUAUUGGCCAGAGACCGAUAGCGCACAAGUAGAGUGAUCGAAAGAUGAAAAGCACUUUGAAAAGAGGGUUAAAUAGUACGUGAAAUUGUUGAAAGGGAAGCGCUCAUGACCAGACUUGGGCCCGGUGAAUCAUCCAGCGUUCUCGCUGGUGCACUUUGCCGGGCUCAGGCCAGCAUCAGUUCGCCCCGGGGGAGAAAGGCUCUGGGAAUGUGGCUCCUCCGGGAGUGUUAUAGCCCUCUGCGCAAUGCCCUGGGGCGGACUGAGGUCCGCGCAUCUGCGAG
rnacentral:rRNA from 1 species